rnacentral:rRNA from 1 species
GACGAACGCUGGCGGCGCGCCUAACACAUGCAAGUCGAACGGAGUUGUUGGAACUGAAGUUUUCGGAUGGACGUACUGACAACUUAGUGGCGAACGGGUGAGUAACGCGUGGGUAACCUGCCUUUUAGAGGGGGACAACAGUUGGAAACGACUGCUAAUACCGCAUAAGAUAUAACUGUCAAUGUUAUAUUGAAAGGAGCCUUUAAAGCUUUGCUUAAAGAUGGGCCUGCGGCGUAUUAACUAGUUGGUGAGGUAAUGGCUUACCAAGGUAACGAUGCGUAGCCGGACUGAGAGGUUGAACGGCCACACUGGGACUGAGACACGGCCCAGACUCCUACGGGAGACAGCAGUUAGGAAUAUUCGUCAAUGGGGGAAACCCUGAACGAGCAAUGCCGCGUGAGUGAUGAAGGUCUUUGGAUUGUAAAACUCUGUUGUAUGGGAAAAACGACCAAGUUAGGAAAUGAACUUGGUGUGAUGGUACCAUACCAGAAAGCCCCGGCUAACUAUGUG